AAUCAACGCUGGCGGCGUGCCUCAGACAUGCAAGUUGAACGAUUAAAGCUCUCUUCGGAGAGUGCAUAAAGUGGCGCACGGGUGAGUAACACGUAAGUAAUCUACCCUCGAGUGGGGAAUAACGUCCGGAAACGGACGCUAAUACCGCAUAACGCAGCGGCACCGCAAGGUGACAGUUGUUAAAGGAGAAAUCCGCUUGAGGAGGAGCUUGCGGCAGAUUAGCUUGUGGUAAGGUAACGGCUUACCAAGGCUACGAUCUGUAACCGGUCUAAGAGGACGGUCGGUCACACUGACACUGAAUAACGGGUCAGACUCCUACGGGAGGCAGCAGUCGGGAAUUUUGGGCAAUGGGGGAAACCCUGACCCAGCAACGCCGCGUGAAGGAUGAAGUAUUUCGGUAUGUAAACUUCGAAAGAAUAGGAAGAAUAAAUGACGGUACUAUUUAUAAGGUCCGGCUAACUACGUGCCAGCAGCCGCCGU
rnacentral:rRNA from 1 species